rnacentral:rRNA from 1 species
UACAGAGGGGGCGAGCGUUGUCCGGAUUUAUUGGGCGUAAAGAGCGUGUAGGCGGCCAGGUAGGUCUGCUGUGAAAACUCGAGGCUUAACCUCGAGCUGUCGGCGGAAACCAUCUGGCUAGAGUCCGGAAGAGGAGAAUGGAAUUCCCGGCGUAGCGGUGAAAUGCGCAGAUAUGGGGAAGAACACCCGUGGCGAAGGCGGUUCUCUGGGACGGUACUGACGCUGAGACGCGAAAGCGUGGGGAGCGAACAGG